rnacentral:rRNA from 1 species
GGUCAAGAAGAGAAGCGCAAACGGUGGAUGCCUUGGCAGUAAGAGGCGAAGAAGGACGUGGAAUCCUGCGAAAAGCUAUGGGGAGCUGGAAACGAGCGUUGAGCCAUAGAUGUCCGAAUGGGGGAACCCGGCUGCAGCGAUGCGGUCAUUUGCAUUUGAAUACAUAGGAUGCAAAGGCGAACUCGGGGAACUGAAACAUCUAAGUACCCGAAGGAAAAGAAAUCAAGAGAGAUUCUCCAAGUAGCGGCGAGCGAACGGGGAGGAGCCUGGCGUGAUUUAUUAUUGAACUGAGUAGAACAAUUUGGGAAAGUUGGCGAUAGAGGGUGAAAGCCCCGUAUACGAAGGUUUGAUGAGGAACUAGGCACGCGAACAAGUAGGCCGGGACACGUGAAAUCCUGGUUGAAGAUGGGUGGACCAUCAUCCAAGGCUAAAUACUACUUACUGACCGAUAGUGAACCAGUACCGUGAGGGAAAGGUGAAAAGAACCCCGGAGAGGGGAGUGAAAUAGAAUCUGAAACCGUUUGCGUACAAGCAGUGGGAGCAUGGUUUAGGCUGUGUGACUGCGUACCUUUUGUAUAAUGGGUCAGCGAGUUACUUUCAGUGGCGAGGUUAACUGCAUAAGGGAGCCGUAGAGAAAUCGAGUCUGAAUAGGGCGAUAGUCGCUGGGAGUAGACCCGAAACCGGGCGAUCUAGCCAUGUGCAGGAUGAAGGUUGGGUAACACCAACUGGAGGUCCGAACCGGGUAAUGUUGAAAAAUUAUCGGAUGACGUGUGGCUAGGAGUGAAAGGCUAAUCAAGCCCGGAGAUAGCUGGUUCUCCCCGAAAGCUAUUUAGGUAGCGCCUCGUGAAUGAUUACUGGGGGUAGAGCACUGUUUCGGCUAGGGGGCUGUCAUGGCUUACCAAACCGAUGCAAACUCCGAAUACCGGCUAAUUGAAUCACGGGAGACACACGGCGGGUGCUAACGUCCGUCGUGGAGAGGGAAACAACCCAGACCGCCAGCUAAGGUCCCCAAGUACUAGUUAAGUGGGAAACGAUGUGGGAAGGCAUAGACAGCCAGGAGGUUGGCUUAGAAGCAGCCACCCUUUAAAGAAAGCGUAAUAGCUCACUGGUCGAGUCGGCCUGCGCGGAAGAUGUAACGGGGCUAAAACUAGUCACCGAAGCUGCGGAUGUGCGCGAAGGCGCACGUGGUAGGGGAGCGUUCUGUAGGCUGAUGAAGGUGCAUUGAGAAGUGUGCUGGAGGUAUCAGAAGUGCGAAUGCUGACAUGAGUAACGAUAAUGUGGGUGAAAAGCCCACACGCCGGAAGUCCCAGGUUUCCUGCACGACGUUAAUCGGAGCAGGGUGAGUCGGCCCCUAAGGCGAGGCUGAAGAGCGUAGUCGAUGGGAACCAGGUUAAUAUUCCUGGACUUUUUAUAAGUGGUGAAGUGGGGACGAAGAAGGCUAGGUGAGCCAGGCGUUGGUUGUCCUGGUACUUGCAUGUAGGGGGGAAGACUUGGCAAAUCCGGUUUUCCAUAACUCUGAGGUGCGAAGUGGUUCUGACCUUUUGGUACAGAGAAGUCAUUGAUGCCCGGCUUCCAGGAAAAGCUGCUAGCCAUAACUUAUAGAGAACCGUACCGCAAACCGACACAGGUGGACAGGUAGAGAAUACUAAGGCGCUUGAGAGAACUCGGGUGAAGGAACUAGGCAAAAUGGUACCGUAACUUCGGGAGAAGGUACGCCCUUUCUGGUGAUGGGAUUUACUUUC